rnacentral:rRNA from 1 species
CAGAGGGUGCAAGCGUUGUUCGGAAUUACUGGGCGUAAAGCGCGCGCAGGCGGAUCCUGUAAGUCGGAAGUGAAAUUUCGGAGCUCAACUCCGAAGCUGCUUCUGAUACUGCGGAUCUGGAGAUCGGUAGAGGUCGGUAGAAUUACAGGUGUAGCGGCGGAAUGCGUAGAUAUCUGUAAGAAUACCCGUGGCGAAGGCGGCCGACUGGGCCGGAUCUGACGCUGAGGCGCGAAAGCGUGGGGAGCAAACAGGAUUAGAUACCCUGGUAGUCCACGCCGUAAACGAUGGGCACUAGGUGCCGGGGGGAGCGACCCCUUCGGUGCCGCAGCUAACGCGAUAAGUGCCCCGCCUGGGGAGUACGGCCGCAAGGCUG